rnacentral:rRNA from 1 species
UGCAGUCGACGAUGCUUUCGGGCAUAGUGGCGCACGGGUGCGUAACGCGUGGGAAUCUGCCCUUGGGUUCGGAAUAACAGUUGGAAACGACUGCUAAUACCGGAUGAUGACGAAAGUCCAAAGAUUUAUCGCCUGAGGAUGAGCCCGCGUAAGAUUAGGUAGUUGGUGGGGUAAAGGCCUACCAAGCCGACGAUCUUUAGCUGGUCUGAGAGGAUGAUCAGCCACACUGGGACUGAGACACGGCCCAGACUCCUACGGGAGGCAGCAGUGGGGAAUAUUGGACAAUGGGCGAAAGCCUGAUCCAGCAAUGCCGCGUGAGUGAUGAAGGCCUUAGGGUUGUAAAGCUCUUUUACCCGGGAUGAUAAUGACAGUACCGGGAGAAUAAGCCCCGGCUAACUCCGUGCCAGCAGCCGCGGUAAUACGGAGGGGGCUAGCGUUGUUCGGAAUUACUGGGCGUAAAGCGCACGUAGGCGGCUUUGUAAGUUAGGGGUGAAAGCCUGGAGCUCAACUCCAGAAUUGCCUUUAAGACUGCAUCGCUUGAAUCCAGGAGAGGUGAGUGGAAUUCCGAGUGUAGAGGUGAAAUUCGUAGAUAUUCGGAAGAACAC